ensembl:lncRNA
CUUUCGCCAUGUUCGCGGCAUUGUCUGUUGUAAUACAGACUAGACAACUCUCAUCUAGGCCCCAAUCAGCUCAAGCUUCUCUCAACCCUGUUGGAAGUCCUCAAUAAAGUCUCUGGGAUGGCAACUUGUGAAAAAUCGUAGCGUGAUGGCAUUACAUACCGCUUGUCAAGCGAACGGUUUUACACACUUGGCGCUGUGCUUUUGAUGGCGUUCUUGCAGAGGACUGGAGAUUACUGCCACGCUCAACAUCCCAGGGCAUAGGCGGCCGAUCCAGUGACCAGGGGGAGGAUGACCACUGCUCUGCCCUCACCGCAGACCAAGCUGCACUGAUCCCUGGGUGAAACAGGACCCCCC